AUGUCGGUAUGGCAUAAGGACAAACAUAAGGGAGUAAGCUACCUCAGAUGUGUUAAUCCUCGUGCAGUGGGAGUACUUACCCUUACCCUUACCCUUAUCGGAAUGCCAUAUAUAUAUAUAUAUAUAUGCGAUAAACCGCGAUUGGUACUCUCUCCGUUUUCGCGUCCGCUUCCGUCCAAGCACAUCCUCUCCUUAUUUCCGAUCAAGCUUUCAAUUCCGGUACAAUGA